rnacentral:rRNA from 1 species
UACAGAGGUCUCAAGCGUUGUUCGGAUUCAUUGGGCGUAAAGGGUGCGUAGGCGGCGCGGUAAGUCGGAUGUGAAAUCUCGGAGCUUAACUCCGAAACUGCAUUCGAUACUGCCGCGCUUGAGGACUGGAGAGGAGACUGGAAUUUACGGUGUAGCGGUGAAAUGCGUAGAUAUCGUAAGGAAGACCAGUGGCGAAGGCGGGUCUCUGGACAGUUCCUGACGCUGAGGCACGAAGGCCAGGGGAGCAAACGGG